GAAGGAACACACCAUGGAAAACACUAAAUCAGAAAUACUAAGAGAACAGGAACAAAUCUGUCAGGAAAAGAAGGAAAUAGAGCUAAAAAUAACUGAGCUGCAGCUACUGCAAGCAGAAAUGCAAAAGCAAAGAAAAGAUCUUGAGAAUGCUGAGGAUGACAAAACUAUGGUGGAGAGUGAGAAGAAUGUGAGACUUCACAGAGAGGACAUGGAGGAAAUCCAACGUCUGAAGUUAGAAGUAGAAAGUCAGAAAGAUGAGCCGAUGAAGAUUAAGUCUGAUGUACUGACAGAUGAAGAGGAAACCAAAACAAAGGCUGAUUUGGAGGCUGUGAAUAAAGAGAUGGAUAAAUUAAGACAUAUAAAGGAAGAAAUACAGAAGGAGAGGAGAGAAAGAGAAGAGAUGGAAAUCAUGAAAGCUGAGAUGGAAAGUGAAAGAAAGGAACUUGAGCGCGCUGUACGAAAAAACACAAGAAAGGUUGAAGAGCUGGAACAAACUAAAAGUGAAUUUCAGGGAAGAAGAGAAGAAUUUGAUAGAGAAAUGGAAAAGAAAAAUCGGGACAUGGAACAACAGAGAAGGACGUUAGAAAGAGACAUGACUGAACUGGAGCAGGCAAGACGUCACAUAAAGACAGAGAAAGAUCUCAUACAGGCAAGAAGAGCUGAGAUGGAGACUAGAACUGAAAACCUACAGAAGAUAACUGAGGACACAAAGAGGGACAAGCAAAUGGUCGUAGACAUGGUAGAACAACUUCAGCAGGAAAAGACACAGGCUCAGAUGGAAAUCCAAAGACUACAACAAGAAAUAGAAGACAAAACAAAUAUGCUCAAGAGAACCAAAUCAGAAAAGGUUGUAGAACAAGAUCAAGAAGGACCAGAAGAAACUGACAGGAUGUAUGAUGAAAUGAAAAGAGAGAGAGAUGAGCUGGAGAAGAUGAAAUCUGAUGUACAGAAGGAGAGAGGUGAAGUGGAGAUAAUAAAAGCUGAAGCCAAGUCAGAGCCUAAUUCAGUGAAUAAGGAGAUGGGUACAUUGAAAUCUUUAAAGGAGGAAAUACAGAAGGAGAGAAGUGAUAUGGAGGAAAACAUAAAAAGGAUGAAGAGAGAAAGAGAAGAGAUGGAAAUCAUGAAAGCUGAGAUGGAAAGUGAAAGGAAGGAACUUGAGCGCGCUGUACGAAAAAACACAAGAAAGGUUGAAGAGUUGGAACGAACCCAGACCGAAAUACAAAGACAGAAAGAAAAAAUGAAGCAAUUAAAGGAAGUGAUGCUCAAGAUGAAAUAUGAGAUGGAGCAAAGUAAAUUAGAUGCGAACAGGGAGAAACAAGAACUAGAACAAGCAAUGUCUCUGAUAAGCAAUGAGAAAGAACAAAUGAAGAAGGAACAAGCUGAGAUGCAGAUCAUGGCUGAGAACAUGCAAAAGGUUAAAGAUGAAGUUGUGAAGGACAAACAAAGACUAGAAAAAAUGACUGAACAGCUUCAAUUUGAAAAGAACCUUUCAGAACUCCAAAUCAAAAAGCAAGAACAAGAAAUUGAGAAUAAAACUAAUUUGCUUUAUAAAGAGAGAGAGGAUCUGGAGAGAACUGUUCAGGAAAUAUUAGAAAGAAAACAUGAAACUGAAAGGAUGUACAAUGAAACAAAGAAUGAACGAGAAGAAGUGGCAAAAAUCAAAUCUGAGGUGAUAAAACAAGCUGAAGAAACCAAAGGCAACAGUGAAAAGCUGCAGUCCGAGAUGAGUGAGGCUAUCCAUAUGAAGGAGGAGAUAAAGAGGCAGCAAGAAGGAAUGAAGAAAAGGAUGCAAAAGAUGAAGUGGGAUAUUGGCGAGAGCAGCGAUGUAAAUUUACAGCACCAGACAGAUGAUCAACAAUUGAAGAUGGAGG
ensembl:lncRNA